GAGAUAAAUCAAUAAAGGCCUUUCCUUGUAAACUGAUAAUCAGACAAAUAAAAGCAAUUUUAGCUAAAUCGAAAUUGGGAGACAGACAAGCAAUGCAGUGUAACACAGAAAGUUAUAAGAAUCAGGUAACUUCAAGAGAUAUGAUCAGUUUAGGGAAUGAGCAUGGAUAUGUGUUCCAACAGAUGUACACAGGCUGAUUCCAGAAUUAAGAACAGCCAAGAAUAGAGAUCUAUGUUAGUUUGUUUUAAUGAAUUGUUAGUCUGAACUGUUUUUUCAUUGUUUUUAUGUGUGUUAUAAGAAAGUAUUAGGUUAAUUAAUUGAAAUAAAAAUUUACAUCAAGUUUGCAAAUAUGACAGAAUGAAAUACACUAAUGUAGCAGUUAGGAACAUGCAAUGUUAU